rnacentral:rRNA from 1 species
CACGUAGGGCGCAAGCGUUGUCCGGAAUUAUUGGGCGUAAGAGCUCGUAGGCGGUCUGUCGCGUCGGAUGUGAAAACCCAGGGCUCAACCCUGGGCCUGCAUUCGAUACGGGCAGACUAGAAUUCGGUAGGGGAGACUGGAAUUCCUGGUGUAGCGGUGAAAUGCGCAGAUAUCAGGAGGAACACCGGUGGCGAAGGCGGGUCUCUGGGCCGAAAUUGACGCUGAGGAGCGAAAGCGUGGGGAGCAAACAGG